UCAUGAUGUUGAUCACUGGAUUGUCUGGUUCCGACUCAAUUAUUUACAGACUGCCGCCGUGUAGCUGGAAUAUUGCUGAGGAUGGCGUAAAACUAAACUGACUCACUCACUUAUGUUUGUGAAGUAAUAAGGUGACGGGUGGUAGGGUAGCAUAGUGUCUACUGGGUUGAAUGCCCAUGGUGUGUGAAGCCCAUGGUGAUGUCCCCGCUGUGACAGUGCUGGGAUAGUGCUAACGGUGGUAUUAAAACAUACUCACUCACCCAUUGGCUAGAAUUAAAAAUGUAAAAAAUCACAUGACACGUUAUAAUUUGUGUACUGUCGUUAUCGGUCAGGUUCUGGUGAAGUAGUUUUAGUAGCACCCUAUGCUAAAUAAAUGACCCCAAUAUUGUAAGAUGAAGAUUUCAAAAUGGAAAUGGGUGUAUGUAUAUACCUGCAUUAUUCUGUACAGGUUAUUAUUUUAGGAUCCACAUGUCAGAGUCAAGUUUCACAGAAAGGUUCAGAAGUUUCCACUCUCAGUUUACCCAAAGAUUAAAGAUGGGAUCCAAGGGCAACUAUACUACUCACACUUUGCUAAGGAUCACAAAAAUUCACAACUUUACUUUACGUUGAUAUAUUAUUUGAAAUUGUAUCCAUUUAAAACUAGAUAAAUAAUAAUAUGGUAACCCAUCAUUAGGCAAAUGGUCACUUUGAUCUAACCUUAUGCACUUGAUACACGAGUAACAAUAAAAAUGGUUUUCAUGGCACCAAUCAACCAUUUUGCAAAUCAUGGAACGAGUCAUUGACAAGUACACAACACCUGUCAAUAGCAGGUAUAGGAUCAACAAGAUGCAAUGACAUACUGAAGCCAAGCAUCCAUGCUAGCAAUAAGCUUACAUAUUUAAACCAAAUUUGACCCCACAUCAUAGUUAAAUCCAUGAUUUGAUCCUUAGCAAAGUGUGUAUAGUAUGUCGAAAUCAAAAUUGUAAAUUGAAUUAAGUGGCAUCAGUGCCAACACGAUGAUAAAUAAGAAAUAUUUUGCCGAAUGUCCAGUCAUUUUGGCCCCUGCAUGUAUCUUUGUAAAGUUUGAUCUUAGAUAUUUUUGCAUAGUUUGAUUUUUGUUUUACCUAACUAUGAAACAACAAUGCUUCUUAUAUGCUCAAGAAAUUAUGUGUAAUUAUAUUAAUUUUAGUUUUAAGUUGUUUAGAAUUUAAUCCUUUUUGUUGCCAGUUUUAGAAAAGUUCUGACAAGCUGCAUUACCUCAAGGUUGUAUAUUUCUCAGCCGCUGAUAGACAGGUGUCCAUUGCAAAUUAUGGCUAUAAAGACUGGAGAAAACCAGAUUAUUUGUGUUCCUUUCCUUACAGUUGGUUUCAAAGCCGACAAAGCACAUUUAUCAACAGACAAUGCCUUUCAGAAAGUGGUCAGAUGUAACAUGUUAUGUUGGAGAUCAUGCUUUCACAGUAAAGUACAAUUUGCAGUACUUUUUAGGAUUGCGUCUCAUUCAGGAUUUGAACCCAUACUUUGAGAGAGGCACCAACUCAUUUGUACACAAAAUAUUUCAUAUGUGAGACCGACUAGUGCUAGCAAUGACUCUAUCCCCAAAACAUCCCAGAAAUUACACUUUACUAAGACCUAAAUCCCAACCAGAAAUUGCACUUUACUAAGACAGUAAAUCCCAACCAGAAAUUGCACUUUACUAAGACAGUGAAUCCCAACCAGAAAUUGCACUUUACUAAGACAGUAAAUCCCAACCAGAAAUUGCACUUUACUAAGACAGUAAAUCCCAACCAGAAAUUGCACUUUACUAAGACAGUAAAUCCCUACCAGAAAUUGCACUUUACUAAGACAGUAAAUCCCAACCAGAAAUUGCACUUUAUUAAGACAGCAAAUCCCAAAUGUCAUGUUACAAACAACCUUUUGAUUAACAUUGUUACUUUCUUCGAUACCCAAUUUGGGAACAUAUUUUCUGGUUGUAGAAAUAUGACUAAGGGGUAGUGGGGUAGCGCAGUAGAGAAAGCAAUUGCUUAUCCCACCCAAGACAUUAGUUCAAAUCUCCGUAUGGGUAUUAUGUAGGCAGCUCGGAUAGCCCUAUGCCUUUAAUGGGUGAUUUAUUGCUGAAAGUAGCAUAUAACCUCACUCACUCUAUAACUUAUAUUCAUUUAUACUUUCCUUAUAUGCAGUUUCUAUAUCAAUCCUGAGACAUUUCAGAAUUUACAAGUCAUGAAGAUAUGCUACUCAAAACAAGUUAAGAGCACCCAAUUUAAGGCUGCACAAUACCCACCUGCCAUGACAGAUUAACCAGUCACAGCAAAUUAUUAGUGUUCCUUAACUUCCUAUGAGUAGCAUAUACACUCGCAUCAUGAAAGAAGAUCUUAGUCACCUUACACACAGACGUUUUUGAACAAGUUGUUUCAAAUUAUUGCAAUAGUUUUCUUUGUGAAUAAAUGUUUAUAUCUGUGAUCAGUUUUAGUAGCAUAUAUAUUAAAAAUCUCAAUGAAUGAUCAUGUUAAUAAAAACAUUGUACAUAUUA